CCUGCCUCAAAGAGGGGGACAACAGUUGGAAACGACUGCUAAUACCGCAUAAGCCCACGGGUCGGCAUCGACCAGAGGGAAAAGGAGCAAUCCGCUUUGAGAUGGCCUCGCGUCCGAUUAGCUAGUUGGUGAGGUAAUGGCCCACCAAGGCGACGAUCGGUAGCCGGACUGAGAGGUUGAACGGCCACAUUGGGACUGAGACACGGCCCAGACUCCUACGGGAGGCAGCAGUGGGGAAUAUUGCACAAUGGGGGAAACCCUGAUGCAGCGACGCCGCGUGGAGGAAGAAGGUCUUCGGAUUGUAAACUCCUGUUGUUGAGGAAGAUAAUGACGGUACUCAACAAGGAAGUGACGGCUAACUACGUGCCAGCAGCCGCGGUAAAACGUAGGUCACAAGCGUUGUCCGGAAUUACUGGGUGUAAAGGGAGCGCAGGCGGGAAGACAAGUUGGAAGUGAAAUCCAUGGGCUCAACCCAUGAACUGCUUUCAAAACUGUUUUUCUUGAGUAGUGCAGAGGUAGGCGGAAUUCCCGGUGUAGCGGUGGAAUGCGUAGAUAUCGGGAGGAACACCAGUGGCGAAGGCGGCCUACUGGGCACCAACUGACGCUGAGGCUCGAAAGUGUGGGUAGCAAACAGGAUUAGAUACCCUGGUAGUCCACACCGUAAACGAUGAUUACUAGGUGUUGGAGGAUUGACCCCUUCAGUGCCGCAG
rnacentral:rRNA from 1 species